UGUAGGUGCUAACAGUUGUCACUGUGGUC
rnacentral:piRNA from 1 species